AUUGAACGCUGGCGGCAGGCCUAACACAUGCAAGUCGAGCGAGCGGCGGACGGGUGAGUAAUGUCUGGGAAACGGCCUGAGGGAGGGGGAUAACUACUGGAAACGGUAGCUAAUACCGCAUACCAUCAGAUGUGCCCAGAUGGGAUUAGCUAGUAUGUGGGGUAACGGCUCACAUAGGCGACUAUCCCUAGCUGGUCUGAGAAGAUGACCAGCCAAACUGGAACUGAGAAACGGUCCAGACUCAUACGGGAGGCAGCAGUGGGGAAUAGGGCACAAUGGGCGCAAGCCUGAUGCAGACAUGCGUCGUGUGUGAAGAAGGCAUUCGGGUUGUAAAACACUUUCAGCGGGGAGGCGUUACCCGCAGAAGAAGCACCGGCUAACUCCGUGCCAGCAGCCGCGGUAAUAC
rnacentral:rRNA from 1 species